UCCUGCCUUUUCACCCAAUGUAUGCUGGGAUAGGCUCCAGCCCCCUUGUGACCCUGACCAGGAGUAAGCAGUUUUGAAUAUGGGUGUCUGGAUGGAUUAUUGGAAUGCAUUUUGCAUUACAUAAAUAUGGGAGGAAAGCAGAAAGGGGUACAGGAAAUGCCGUGGCAACGAAUCUAACCCUCGCACACACAAGGUUGGCAGGAAUAAACCCUGGACAGGUCACCAAUCCACAGC